rnacentral:rRNA from 1 species
CAAUAGCGUAUAUUAAAGUUGUUGCAGUUAAAAAGCUCGUAGUUGGAUUUCUGGGCUCAGUCUUUGGUCCGUCGAAAGAUGUGCACUGACGACUGGGUCCUUUCCUCUCGACGUUCACGGGUGCUCUUAACUGAGUGUUCGUGGGACUCGGGACCUUUACUUUGAAAAAAUUAGAGUGUUCAAAGCAGGCCUUUGCUUGAAUACAUUAGCAUGGAAUAAUGGAAUAGGACUUGGGUUCUAUUUCGUUGGUUUUAGGACCGAAGUAAUGAUUAAUAGGGACAGUUGGGGGCAUUAGUAUUUAAUUGUCAGAGGUGAAAUUCUUAGAUUUAUGAAAGACUAACUACUGCGAAAGCAUUUGCCAAGGAUGUUUUCAUUAA